GCGGGAGUGGCGAAAUUGGUAGACGCACCAGGUUUAGGUCCUGACGCCUUCAGGCGUGCCGGUUCGAGUCCGGCCUUCCGCACCA
rnacentral:tRNA from 1 species